AGAGUUUGAUUCUGGCUCAGGAUGAACGCUGGCGGCGUGCCUAACACAUGCAAGUCGAACGAUGAAGCCGGCUUCGGCCGGGUAUGAAGUGGCGAACGGGUGAGUAACACGUGACCAACCUGCCCCGCGCCCCGGGAUAGCCUCGAGAAAUCGGGAUUAACACCGGAUACUCCGCGGGCCCCGCAUGAGGCCGGCGGGAAAGCUUUGCGGCGCGGGAUGGGGUCGCGGCCCAUUAGGUAGCAGGCGGGGUGACGGCCCACCUGGCCGACGAUGGGUAGCCGGGUUGAGAGACCGACCGGCCACAUUGGGACUGAGAUACGGCCCAGACUCCUACGGGAGGCAGCAGUGGGGAAUAUUGCGCAAUGGGCGCAAGCCUGACGCAGCAACGCCGCGUGCGGGAAGAAGGCCCUCGGGUUGUAAACCGCUUUCAGCAGGGAAGAUCGUGACGGUACCUGCAGAAGAAGCCCCGGCUAACUACGUGCCAGCAGCCGC
rnacentral:rRNA from 1 species